UGGGGAAUCUUGCACAAUGGGGGAAACCCUGAUGCAGCGACGCCGCGUGAACGAUGGAGCCCUUCGGGGUGUAAAGUUCUUUCGACGGGGACGAUAAUGACGGUACCCGGAGAAGAAGCUGCGGCUAACUACGUGCCAGCAGCCGCGGUAAUACGUAGGCAGCAAGCGUUGUUCGGAAUUACUGGGCGUAAAGAGUGCGUAGGUGGUUGGCCAAGUUUGGUGUGAAAUCUCCCGGCUUAACUGGGAGGGUGCGCCGAAAACUGGUUGACUAGAGUGUGGGAGAGGGACGUGGAAUUCCUGGUGUAGCGGUGAAAUGCGUAGAUAUCAGGAGGAACACCUGCGGUGUAGACGGCGUCCUGGACCAUGACUGACACUGAGGCACGAAAGCGUGGGGAGCAAACA
rnacentral:rRNA from 1 species